AGCGAACGCUGGCGGCAGGCCUAACACAUGCAAGUCGAACGAAGUCUUCGGACUUAGUGGCGGACGGGUGAGUAACACGUGGGAACGUGCCUUUAGGUUCGGAAUAACUUAGGGAAACUUGUGCUAAUACCGAAUGUGCCCUUCGGGGGAAAGAUUCAUCGCCUUUAGAGCGGCCCGCGUCUGAUUAGCUAGUUGGUGAGGUAAAGGCUCACCAAGGCGACGAUCAGUAGCUGGUCUGAGAGGAGGAUCAGCCACAUUGGGACUGAGACACGGCCCAAACUCCUACGGGAGGCAGCAGUGGGGAAUCUUGCGCAAUGGGCGAAAGCCUGACGCAGCCAUGCCGCGUGAAUGAUGAAGGUCUUAGGAUUGUAAAAUUCUUUCACCGGGGACGAUAAUGACGGUACCCGGAGAAGAAGCCCCGGCUAACUUCGUGCCAGCAGCCGCGGUAA
rnacentral:rRNA from 1 species